GGGGUUAUAGCUCAGUUGGGAGAGCGCUUGCAUGGCAUGCAAGAGGUCCGCGGUUCGAUCCCGCGUAGCUCCACCA
rnacentral:tRNA from 5 species